AGCAGACUUCCGCCCGCCUUUUCUACCGUUGGAAAUGCAAGAUGCGGCGACUUGACUUCAGACACCGAGAGAGGCUGGCGGCCCAGGUCUUGUGGCCACAUCUGUCCAAACUCCUACUCUGAUUGAACAGUUGGAUGAUCAGACUGAUGAUGAAAAGUGCUACACAGUUCUCACACAUCUUCUGACUCCGAAGCCGCUGCAGUGUAAAAUCUGAGAUGUCUUUUCUGGUUGAUUUUGUGCAGAUUUCUGACAGCGAUGGUGAGGGAAGCAGUGUACCGAACUCUCAGAUGACUCGGACCAGGUGACCAAACCCAUGCAAAGCACAAUGACUGUGCUGAGGCGUUCCGCCCCCCUCCCCCUCCACACCACUCAAGGCAUGGCGGCGGCCCAACCGCAAACUAACGGAGAUUAACAUGAGGCUGGACGCUUGGCUCCCUGCUGCGUCCAUCACCAGAGGGGCCGGGAUUGCUGCGGCAGCUGGCCAAUUAAAGGAGGAGGAUGAAGGAGAGGAGUCUGACGAUGCAGACAUCGCCAUCGUAUGCAGUCCACGCCCUCGCAGGAAAACCAGCCAAUGAAAACGCUGGCAGCAGCAUCAGCAGAACACACCGGCACGACUGACAGAGCUUCUGAAGCAUGCAGUGGAAGACCUGUCAGUCAAGCUAAAGGUCCCGCCCUCCAACCUGCUGCUGCUGCACGGAGAGGCGGAACUUAACACCUCACACACUAUUGGCCAGCUAGGACUCUGCAUCGCUGACAUCUUUGUCUGGAACCAACUUCACAUCCCUCUUCACUGCACUACUGACACUGAGAUGGAAUCCACAACCCAACCACUAGUGGUCUGCAUUGGGAACCUGAAGAGUCUGUCAUCACCGCCAGGAAUGACCGCGUGACCAUCCCCGUUGCAGACGGCCUGACUUGCACAAUUGACAAGCUGUUCAAGCUUUACUGGGUCUGCAACUUGUUAUAUCCAGCACAGCUCAGCUCUGUUUUCACCUUCUUUGAAUAUGUUUAUGACGUUCCCAUCUCAACCAACAAACGAACAAAGGCACUACAACUUCUCUCAAAGCUUCCCAGCAGCCCAGUGAUCACUCAACAUGUGUUAUGCCCAAAAUGUAAAUAGUUACUACAGACAUCAAGAAAGUAGUUUGGCAUCUUUGUCAUGUACACGCUUUGUCAGAUGCACAGGAUAUGAUGAUAAUUUGCAGCCAAGAUGGCUGUUCAAGUGUACAAGGACUUACUAUGUAGACACCACCAGUCCACAACAACAGAAAUGGAAGUAUCUUUCAAUGACUCUUUUGAAUCCACUGACAUUCAGACAGCCUAUGCAGCUUCAAGUAACACCUGAAGAAAGAGCAUUUUGUGUCCCUUCUCAAGGACCGAUUCUCCAUAAUUUACCACUUAAUGACAAUUUAUCUGUGUUCAUGCUUGUUAGGAUUAUUACAGGGAAUUAUUUUGAUUAUCAUUUUGGCAACACUUUAUUUUAUCAUUACAUCUAUCAGCUCUAAUACAUACAGUGUUAAUGCCUGUAUGCAUACAGUGUUAAUGCCUGUAUGCUGUAUAAGUAACUUGUAAGGCAUGCACUAAGCAAAAUCAAACAUACGUUAGGCAUGUAUUCGCAAAUGCCUUGAUCAUGCACAAUUUGGGAUUUAUUACCUAAUAUAACCUCAGUAAGGACCUAACAAAUGUUUGAUUUCGCUUAGUACAUGCCUUACAAGUUACUUAUACAGGCAUUAACCCAUUGAUGCUGGAUGUUGCGUUGUGCAACAUUGGCCCUGGCGCCUGUAUGUAUUUGUAUGGCAUCAGCACCCUUUUCUGCAAGUGCUUUAGGCAUCAAUGGGUUAACAUUGUAUGUAUUAGUGCUUAGCGAUGUAAUGUUAAAAUAAAGUGUUACCAUCAUAUUUUUUAAAAAAUAUAUAUGUUGUAAAACUGGACGAUUGUGAAAUGAUAUGAUGUGGCAGAUGUAAGACCCAUUGAUGUAAUGCAGAGUUUUCAUUCAGAUGAACUGUCUCUUAACCCAAGGUACAAUGUCUUUUCUUCCAAUAUGUUGGAACCUAUUUCAUAAGAAUGUUAUUUUCAAGAAUAUUUAACACUACUUCGAAUUUCAAGACUUUCGGGUUUUGUAAUACACCGGUAAUGUUGUUAAGACAUGAUAGUGUACGAGUCAUAAUCAUCAAUACUUCAUGAAAUUCGCAGUGGUGUUAAUUAUUCUUGAAAAAGAUCACAUUUGUUAUCUCCCCCUCUUCUGAAAAGCCUAACAAAAAAGAAUAUGACAGUAAAGUUAAUGUAAUACAAUUUUUUUUUUAAUUGAAUGUAAACACAACUCUACAAAAAAAAAACGUUGCAGAGGUAUGUAGUCAAGACUUUUGAAGAUUGAACCUUGUAAACAAAAGUGUUUGCUAAAUAAAAGUAAACCCCCCCUGUCACUUU